GACGAACGCUGGCGGCGCGCCUAACACAUGCAAGUCGAACGAGCGAGAGGAGGUUUACUUUCUCAAGCGAGUGGCGAACGGGUGAGUAACGCGCGAGGAACCUGCCUCAAAGAGGGGGACAACAGUUGGAAACGACUGCUAAUACCGCAUAAGCCCACGACCCGGCAUCGGGUAGAGGGAAAAGGAGCAAUCCGCUUUGAGAUGGCCUCGCGUCCGAUUAGCUAGUUGGUGAGGUAAUGGCCCACCAAGGCGACGAUCGGUAGCCGGACUGAGAGGUUGAACGGCCACAUUGGGACUGAGACACGGCCCAGACUCCUACGGGAGGCAGCAGUGGGGAAUAUUGCACAAUGGGGGAAACCCUGAUGCAGCGACGCCGCGUGGAGGAAGAAGGUCUUCGGAUUAUAAACUCCUGUUGUUGAGGAAGAUAAUGACGGUACUCAACAAGGAAGUGACGGCUAACUACGU
rnacentral:rRNA from 1 species